AGAGUUUGAUCAUGGCUCAGAACGAACGCUGGCGGCGUGUUUAAGACAUGCAAGUCGCACGGGACUAUUUGAGUAGCAAUACAAGAAUAGUUUAGUGGCGCACGGGUGAGUAACACGUGAAUUACAUGCCCUGCAGAGGGGGAUAGCCCAGGGAAACUUGGAUUAAUACCCCAUGGUAUCGCAAGAUUAAAGGUGGCCAGCAAUGGCUGUCGCUGCAGGAUUGGUUCGCGCCCUAUCAGCUUGUUGGUGAGGUAACGGCUCACCAAGGCUACGACGGGUACCUGGUCUGAGAGGACGAUCAGGCACACUGGAACUGAGACACGGUCCAGACACCUACGGGUGGCGGCAGUCGAGAAUAAUUCACAAUGGGGGCAACCCUGAUGGUGCAACGCCGCGUGGAGGAUGAAGGUCUUCGGAUUGUAAACUCCUGUCAUCCGGGAGUAAGACCUGGCGAUGAAUAGUCGACAGGGUUGAUAGUACCGGAAGAGGAAGGGACGGCUAACUUCGUGCCGGCAGCCGCGGUAAUACGAAGGUCCCGAGCGUUGUUCGGAAUCACUGGGCGUAAAGGGAGCGUA
rnacentral:rRNA from 1 species